rnacentral:rRNA from 1 species
UACGGAGGAGGCAAGCGUUUAUCCGGAAUUAUUGGGCGUAAAGCGUCCGCAGGUGGCACCUCAAGUCUGCUGUCAAAGACCGGGGCUUAACCCCAGAAAGGCAGUGGAAACUGAAGUGCUAGAGUGCAGUAGGGGUAGAGGGAAUUCCCGGUGUAGCGGUGAAAUGCGUAGAGAUCGGGAAGAACAUCGGUGGCGAAAGCGCUCUGCUGGACUGCAACUGACGCUGAGGCACGAAAGCGUGGGGAGCAAACAGG